rnacentral:rRNA from 1 species
UAGGGAAUCUUCCACAAUGGACGAAAGUCUGAUGGAGCAACGCCGCGUGAGUGAAGAAGGUUUUCGGAUCGUAAAGCUCUGUUGUUGGUGAAGAAGGAUAGAGGCAGUAACUGGUUCUUAUUUGACGGUAAUCAACCAGAAAGUCACGGCUAACUACGUGCCA